CCGGAAGUGAAGGGAAAAGGCGGGCAAUUUCGAUUCUUCACUCCGGCCACCACGUCUAAAACACCGAUUGUCAGAUGUAUUGGCUGCACCUUCAAGGAAAGGCCAGGAAGAAACCCCAAGUUCUCAUGAGGUUCCGUCAGGGGGGUCCAGGGUGGGGGGGAAGAGCAGAUGUCCAUGUGCAUAUAGAGCUGCCAAGUGGUUCCAGAGCGCCGGAGCAGCCACAUAGACACAAGGGUCCCCAAAUGGUGUGACAAAGGAUGUGCAGGAAGCCCCUCUCUGCCUGGGUGAGCCCCGGAGUUGGUGCCAGCCUGUUGGAACCCGAGCCUUGUGUUUCUCAGCGGGACCAAGAGCCAACUUUACUUCACAAUUUUCAUCUGCAUUGGGUCCACGCCUCCGCAUCUUGGGGUCAGCCAUGACGGGUUACGUUCCGAGCCUUCCAGCGAACAGCAAAAGAAGGUGAGAUCAUACACCCAUAAAAAUGUUUAUACAAGGUUCCCUCGUUUAUUGCGGGGAUAAGCGACAGGUUCCCAAAAUAGCCUGCAAUACAAUUAUUAUUAUUAUUAUUAUUAUGUGUUUUAAGGCUGCAAAACACCUCACCAUACAAUUUAUACAACUUUCUCACACCGGCAUUGUUACACCCACAAAUGUAAUGAACCACAAACGUAAUAUCUUAAAAGGUUUUCUCCGGGUACUCCGAUUUUCCUCCCACAUUCCAAAAACAUGCUAGGUUAAUUAGCGACUCCAAAUUGUCCAUAGGUAUGAAUGUGAGUGUGAAUGGUUGUUUGUCUAUAUGUGCCCUGUGAUUGGCUGGCCACCAGUCCAGGGUGUACCCCGCCUCUUGCCCCAAGGAAAAAAAAAGUAUCUUUAAGGAAAUUGUACAUAUUUGUGGCCUAAAUUGAGUAUUUUGAAGCAAACUAAAAUACAUUCAAAUUGUGAAUGAUUGAUCGCCAGAACAACAGGCUUUUAUUGCAGCUCAAAAACAUGAAUUUAGUAAUCAUAAUAAUAACACAGUCUGCAUGGUAGGACGAGUGGUUAGUGCGCAGGCCUCACAGCUAGGAGACCCAAGUUCAAUUCCA